rnacentral:rRNA from 1 species
AUGAACGCUGGCGGCGUGCCUAAUACAUGCCAGUCGAGCGAACGGACGAGAAGCUUGCUUCUCUGAUGUUAGCGGCGGACGGGUGAGUAACACGUGGAUAACCUACCUAUAAGACUGGGAUAACUUCGGGAAACCGUAGCUAAUACCGGAUAAUAUUUUGAACCGCAUGGUUCAAAAGUGAAAGACGGUCUUGCUGUCACUUAUAGAUGGAUCCGCGCUGCAUUAGCUAGUUGGUAAGGUAACGGCUUACCAAGGCAACGAUGCAUAGCCGACCUGAGAGGGUGAUCGGCCACACUGGAACUGAGACACGGUCCAGACUCCUACGGGAGGCAGCAGUAGGGAAUCUUCCGCAAUGGGCGAAAGCCUGACGGAGCAACGCCGCGUGAGUGAUGAAGGUCUUCGGAUCGUAAAACUCUGUUAUUAGGGAAGAACAUAUGUGUAAGUAACUGUGCACAUCUUGACGGUACCUAAUCAGAAAGCCACGGCUAACUACGUG